CACGUAGGGUGCGAGCGUUGUCCGGAAUUAUUGGGCGUAAAGAGCUCGUAGGCGGUGUGUCGCGUCGGCCGUGAAAACCUGCAGCUUAACCGUGGGCUUGCGGUCGAUACGGGCAUCACUGGAGUUCGGCAGGGGAGACUGGAAUUCCUGGUGUAGCGGUGAAAUGCGCAGAUAUCAGGAGGAACACCGGUGGCGAAGGCGGGUCUCUGGGCCGAUACUGACGCUGAGGCACGAAAGCGUGGGGAGCAAACAGG
rnacentral:rRNA from 1 species